GACGAACCGAGCGAACGUUGUUCGGAAUCACUGGGCUUAAAGGGCGCGUAGGCGGAUUCUCAAGUCCGGGGUGAAAUCCCACAGCUCAACUGUGGGACUGCCUCGGAUACUGGGGGUCUCGAGGGUGGCAGGGGUAUGCGGAACUAUCGGUGGAGCGGUGAAAUGCGUUGAUAUCGAUAGGAACUCCGGUGGCGAAGGCGGCAUACUGGUCCACUUCUGACGCUGAGGCGCGAAAGCCAGGGGAGCAAACGGG
rnacentral:rRNA from 1 species